AGAGACGAUUCUUUGAGUGAG
rnacentral:snRNA from 1 species